GGGGCCUUCUUGUGUGCGGCCUGGAGCGAGUGCCGCGCGGGCGGCCCUGCCUCGCCCCAGGAAAGUACGUGAUGGUGAUGGGAGUAGUUCAGGCGUGCAGCCCUGAGCCGUGCCUUCAGGCCGUGAAGAUGACAGACCUUUCCGAUAACCCCGUCCAUGAAAGCAUGUGGGCCUUGGAAGUGGAAGAUUUACACAGGAAUAUUCCUUAGAUGUUGGAAGCGUCCUUAAAAACAACCUAAAUUCUGAAACAACUUAGGUCCUUGUCCUAUGUGGAUUUCACGGACAUUGUUCAGUGUGUAGCUCUCAAAAGUUUCUCGGAAAGCUUUGGUUUGGAUCACCAAGUGAUCCAAAUGUAGGGUUUCUAAACGCUGGGACAUUCCAGUUAACUCAGCCCCUGCUGCCCCUUUGCCUUGACUGCUGUUUGCUGAUGAAAAGCAGAUGUGUUCUUUUCCUCUCUGUUUUGGUUUAUGUUUGUUAAUUCUCUCUAAAGCACACAGAAAUCUCAUGUUGCAUUUUCCAAGUUUUACAAGUGAUGAUGCUUUUUCCGUUCCCGCUGUGACCUUAAUUUUAAGAUGCAAACUUUGGAUCUCAGUUGUUGCCCGUGGUGAUUAAAGCGUGGUCGUGGGCAGGAGAACACUGCGUGAAAGGGAUGACAUCAUGACCCUCGGGUCUUCUCCAUCAGCAACUUCCCCAUCCAGUUUGCAACUCACACGGCCUCUCAAAGACACAGCUCACUUUCUGCCACUCAGCCCGUUAAGGUCCACUUCCCUGAGAUGUGCGUGAUGAUGGGAGAUGCGGAAACGCUUUCAAAUUGAUUGAGAACAACUUUUAGAUAUCAACAUCUGCCUUCUGACUUGCUGAGACACUGUGAAGGAGCAUCCUCCUGGUAUAGAGUGCCUUCGUUGUGAUUGUAUUGGAUGUUGGGUUUCUGCCUCUUACCCAACCCUCACUUUUCCUUAGAUUAUAGAUACCAAGGGAGUCAGGUUUUGUUCCAACAUUGCUGUAGAGUUUUGCUGGGUUAUUGAUUUUCUACCACUAAUAAAUUGUUUUAUGUGUUGUAUAUUUUUUUAAAAUAGACUUUUUUCUAGAGCAGCUUUAUAUUUAUGGGAAAAAAGCAGAAAGUACGGAGAGUUCCCGUAUACCCCCUUCCUCAUUUUCUCUUAUUAUUAACAUCUUGCCGUGGUGGGUACAUUUGUUACACUUGAUGAGCCAACAUUGAUUCAUUAUUAUUAACUAAAGUUCAUAGUUCACAUUAGGCGUCACUUUGUGAUGUGCCGUUCUAUGAGUUUUACAUUUAUCUACAUUAUGGUAUCAUACGAACAGUUCCACUGCCCUAAAACUCCUAUGCUCUGUGUCUGUUCAUCCCACUCCCCUUCAGGCUUGGCACCCACUGAUUUUUUUGCUAGUGUCUCCAUAGAUUUGCCUUUUCCAGAAUGUCGUAUAGUUGUAAUCAUACUGUAUGUAUUUCUUUCACUUAGCGAUAUGCAUUUAAGAGUUCUCCAUGUCUGGGUAACUUGAUAGCAAUUUCUUUUUAUUGCUGAAUGCUCACUCCGUUGUAUGAAUGUACCAUGCUUUGUCUUUCACCUACUAAAGGACAUCGGUUUGAUUCCA